rnacentral:rRNA from 1 species
CCUACGGGUGGCAGCAGUGGGGGAUAUUGCACAAUGGGGGGAACCCUGAUGCAGCGACGCCGCGUGGGUGAAGGAGUAUUUCGGUAUGUAAAGCCCUAUCGGCAGGGAAGAAAUUGGACGGUACCGGACGAAGAAGCACCGGCUAACUACGUGACAGAAGCCGCGGUAAUACGUAGGGGGCAAGCGUUAUCCGGAUCGACUGGGUGGAAAGGGAGCGUAGACGGCAAGGCCAGCCAGGGGUGAAAGCCCGGGGCCGAACCCCGGCACUGCCCUUGGAACUGCCUGGCGUGAGUGCGGGAGGGGCAGGCGGAAUUGCUGGUGUAGCGGUGAAAUGCGUAGCUAUCAGGAGGAACCCCGGCGGCGAAGGCGGCCUGCUGGACCGCGACUGACGUUGAGGCUCGAAAGCGUGGGGAUCGAACAGGAUUAGAUACCCGAGUAGUC